UGCGAGCGCGACAAUCUGCUUCUCCCUCUUCCUCCUUCCGUCCUAGGCCCUUCCUGCUAAAACCCUAACUAAAAUCUUCCAUUUUCGCUCCUCUCUGUCUCCCUGUGCUACGUGGAACUCGACUAGCCACACAGCUUCGAUCCGAUUCCACAACGGUAGCGAGCCAUGAGGUCCCGAUACGCCAUGGUGUGUUCCUCGAACCAGAACCGCAGCAUGGAGGCUCACGCCCUCCUCAAGAGGGAAGGCUUCGACGUGUCGUCGUACGGCACGGGGUCGCACGUCAAGCUCCCCGGUCCAUCCCUUAGGGAGCCGAACGUUUACGACUUCGGGACUCCCUACAAGCACAUGUUCGAAGAGCUCCGGCGCAAGGACCCCGAUCUCUACAAGCGCAAUGGUAUCUUGCCUAUGCUCAAGAGGAAUAUGUCAGUGAAAUUAGCACCUCAAAGAUGGCAAGAGAACUCUCCUGAUGGCCCCUUCGAUGUGGUGCUUACAUUUGAAGAGAAGGUUUUCGAUAUGGUUCUUGAAGAUCUCAACAAUCGAGAGCAGAUUCUUAUGAAGACUGUACUUGUGAUUAACUUGGAGGUAAAGGAUAACCAUGAGGAGGCAGCAACUGGAGCUCAGCUUGCUUUAGAUCUUUGUCGAGAGAUAGAAGCGGCCGAGUCUUGGGAGGAAUCUAUUGAUGACAUUGUGUCUAAUUUUGAAAAGCAGAACAGGCGGAAAUUAUUAUACAGCAUUUCCUUCUAUUGAUGACCGCGGAAGAUUGAAUCAGGCUUUCUCAUGUUUUUGCACCUUCACUUCAUCUAGGUAAUCACGGUCUGUGCCAAUUGUUGGGCUUAAUGAGCACUGUCCUUGACUCCUCGUUAGGGAUAACAUUGGAUCAAUGUGGAAAAGAAAUUCUGAUUCAAACCCCCUUCCAUUGCUUUCUCUGGAAUGUCGAGCCAUGAAGAUGUAUCAGUAAUUGGAAGCAAGCAGUCUUGCUUAGGAGUGAAAAUUCUAUUGUUGGUGUCCGUUAAUGUUUUUUCAGUUACUUCCUUUAUAAAGUUCCUUUGUAGAACGGAACUAAUUCUGCGACGGUACUCAUGCCGGGAGAGUGGGAAGAAAAAAAUUGAGCCCGGCAUAUUGCAUAUAAUUUAUAUGAAUGCAACGUGUUGGAAGCCGCUUCUCUUGUCAUUUUUCUGUCUUGUGUGAAAAGAAAAAUGAAACGACAGAAUCAACCUGACCUGGUUAGUCUUUUGAUGAUACGGUUCUGUAUUUGUGGCAGGUUCACAGUUCAAUCGAUCCUACUUUAUUUCAGAUGAGGUGGUUUAUCAAAAGAAACUGACUUAUAAAGCAGAACUUCUAAUU